CACCCCGGCAGUGGGAAAAGGGACACCUUGUUGUUGCUGCUUUUCUUAAAUCAGUCAGGGGCAGAGCAGUUGGCAGCCCUUUGUUCACCCUAGCCUAAUGCCUGGCUUGAUGGUCAAACCGUUCUUAUGCCUAGGACUCAUAA